rnacentral:tRNA from 1 species
ACCACGGUGGUCUAGCGGUUAGAACGCUGGCCUUGUAAUCCUGGGGUCUCGGGUUCGAUUCCCG